UUGGUCCCACGGGGGGCAGCAGUGAGGAAUAUUGGUCAAUGGGCGAGAGCCUGAACCAGCCACGUCGCGUGAAGGAUGACGGCCCUACGGGUUGUAAACUUCUUUUGUCAGGGAGCAAUUGGGUCCACGCGUGGGAUUAGCGAGAGUACCUGAAGAAAAAGCAUCGGCUAACUCCGUGCCAGCAGCCGCGGUAAUACGGAGGAUGCGAGCGUUAUCCGGGUUUAUUGGGUGUAAAGGGUGCGUAGGCGGGAUAUCAAGUCAGCGGUAAAAAUUCGGGGCUCAAC
rnacentral:rRNA from 1 species